rnacentral:tRNA from 1 species
AUUUAAAUAGUUUAAUUAAAAAUUCUAAUUUGUGGAAUUAGAGAUGUAAGAAUGACUUUAAAUU